UUUUGGAAGUAAAAGUCGUAACAAGGUUUCGGUAGGUGAACCUGCGGA
rnacentral:rRNA from 1 species